AAUCAGCCGUCUCGCGAAUGCCNUAGAUUAGUUGAUCAUGGCUCAGAACACGCUGUCGGCGUGCCUAACACAUGCAAGUCGAACGCGAAAGUCCCGCAAGGGAUAAGUAGAGUGGCAAACGGGUGAGUAACGCGUGGGUGACCUACCUUCGAGCGGGGGAUAACGUCCCGAAAGGGACGCUAAUACCGCAUAACAUCCUGCCUUUGAAGAGGUGGAGAUCAAAGCUGGGGAUUCGCAAGAACCCGGCACUUGAAGAGGGGCCCGCGUCUGAUUAGCUAGUUGGUGAGGUAACGGCUUACCAAGGCAACGAUCAGUAGCCGGCCUGAGAGGGCGGACGGCCACACUGGGACUGAGACACGGCCCAGACUCCUACGGGAGGCAGCAGUGGGGAAUUGUUCGCAAUGGGCGCAAGCCUGACGACGCAACGCCGCGUGGAGGAUGAAGAUCUUCGGGUCGUAAACUCCUGUCGAACGGGACGAAAGAAUCGCGGGUUAACAGCCCGUGGUAGUGACGGUACCGUUAGAGGAAACCCCGGCUAACUCCGUGCCAGCAGCCGCGAUAAUACAGCGAGGGGGGGGUAAAGCNGUUGUACGGGAACAUUACUGAGGCGUACAAGAGGCCUCGUUAAAGCGGGCCCAACUAAGUCAGACGUGGAAAUCCCUUCCAGAGUUUUAACUUGGGGAAACUAGCGUUUUGAUAACUGGAUGGCUUUGGAAUUCCGGAAAAGGACUGCGGAUUUCCCAAGGUGGUAGCAGNUGGAAAUCUCANUAGACUAUCNUGGAAGAACCACCGGUUGCNAAGCNGCAUUCUUGGACCGAANUUACCCUAAGACA
rnacentral:rRNA from 1 species